ACAAUUAUCGAGAGGAUUUUAAGUUGCCCAAUUUAAAGCUUACCUAUAAAAACAGGCAGGGAUUCCACUUUGUUAUACCACAGAAGAAUAUUCAAGGAAAGCUUCCAAGCAAGUUCAUUCAGGUUGUAAAACAUGGGAACAACAUUCGUUGCUCAAGUUUAGAACUAGCAUCUUUGAACGCUAGGAAUAAAUCUGCAGCUGC